rnacentral:rRNA from 1 species
UUAAAUGUAUUUUUUUUUAUUUAAUUAUUAUUAGUUAUGAUCUUUAAAAUUAAAAAUUUUGGCGGUAUUUUAGUCUUUUUAGAGGAACCUGUUUUUUAAAUGAUAAUCCACGAUUUAAUUUACUUUUAUUAUUAGCUUACAUAUCGUCGUAGUUUAAUAUUUUUAUAGAAUUAUAAUAUUUAAAAUUUCUUUAAAAAAAUUAAUCAGAUCAAGGUGUAGUUCAUAUAAAAGUUUAAAUGGGUUACAUUAAAUUUAUUUCUGGAUUCUAAAUCUUAUUAUUUAAAUCAAAUUGGAUUUAAUUGUAAUAUUAAUUAAUUAAUUAAUAUGAUUUUGGCUCUAAAAUAUGU